rnacentral:rRNA from 1 species
GACGAACGCUGGCGGCGCGCUUAACACAUGCAAGUCGAGCGAUGAAAUUUCGACAGAUCCCUUCGGGGUGAAGAUGAAAUGGAUUAGCGGCGGACGGGUGAGUAACACGUGAGUAACCUGCCUUAGACAUUGGGAUAGCCUCGGGAAACCGGGAUUAAUACCAAAUGAAAUCACAUAUGCACAUGCAUAAAUGAUCAAAGCUCCGGCGGUCUAAGAUGGACUCGCGUCCCAUUAGCUAGUUGGUGAGGUAACGGCCCACCAAGGCGACGAUGGGUAGCCGGCCUGAGAGGGUGAACGGCCACAUUGGAACUGAGAAACGGUCCAAACUCCUACGGGAGGCAGCAGUGGGGAAUAUUGCACAAUGGAGGGAACUCUGAUGCAGCGACGCCGCGUGAACGAAGAAGGCUUUCGAGUCGUAAAGUUCUUUUAUAUGGGAAGAUAAUGACGGUACCAUAAGAAAAAGCCCCGGCUAACUACGUGCCAGCAGCCGCGGUAAUACGUAGGGGGCUAGCGUUGUCCGGAAUCACUGGGCGUAAAGGGUUCGCAGGCGGAAAUGCAAGUCAGGUGUAAAAGGCAGUAGCUUAACUACUGUAAGCAUUUGAAACUGCAUAUCUUGAGAAGAGUAGAGGUAAGUUGAAUUUUUAGUGUAGCGGUGAAAUGCGUAGAUAUUAAAAAGAAUACCGGUGGCGAAGGCGACUUACUGGGCUCAUUCUGACGCUGAGGAACGAAAGCGUGGGUAGCAAACAGG